GAUUGUUGCUUCUGAAGAAAAAACUUAAUUCUUUUCCAUGAGAAGAUAACAGUGGAUGACUUUUUAAGCCCCUACAGCACGACAAUCCUCGUGUCAAACCCCCUGGAAAAGAUAACCAUAAAGGCUGAUCUUGUUUUUGAAGAAUACAGCUAAGUUUCUAAAAGUCUUAAAUCCAAUGCACAUAAAUUACAGAGGCUUUGGACUCAUUUUGAAACGUUAUCCAUGCAGUUGGCCUUGAUCUCCAUGAAAAACUUCUGCUAUUUAAGGAGAGCGAAUCAACUCCCUAUCCUAAACUUGUAAAGAAACCAGCUCAUUUUUUUGCUCCUCGGGAAGUUUAUGUUAUUGAAGAUGACAAGGAAGCCAAACAUCAAUCUUGCCAAAAGACCUAUCUAUUUGAUUGAAUCUAAAAUGGGAAGUUCUUCAAUGUGAGAAACAGAAUGUUCUU